GGGAGGCAGUAGGGCUGCCCUAAAGGGUGGGGUCGUGGGCUAGCCUUGGCUGGCAUCUAGUUUUGUAACUGAUUACAUACACUGUGUGAAUCUGUCAGCACUGGAACCCACUCAGUUCGCCAGACCUAAUUAAUCCCUACUGUGAGUCCAGGAGCAGCUUGGAGCUGAGAGGAGUGAUGAGAACCCAUCCGCCCCCAGUAAACGGAUGACCUCAACCCUGGAGGACGCUGUCCAGGAAAAUCCCUCUUUUCCUUCUCCUCAUCCCCGAAUUGAAAAUAAGGGCAGAGACUCCUACUUGGGACUUCUUGAGGAAACAAACAAACAAAGUAAAAGCACCAAUUCAUCUGGAUUUUCUUCAUUUGUCUUAAAUACAAACAAACAAAAGGAGAGUGGUUAUUUCUGCACCAACUAUUUCCAACGCAAGUUGCCUCAUCGCUCGGGGUGUUUGGAUAGUGCUUGUCACCACAGGACCACAGGGCCAGUUCCAACUGUUACUCAUGUUGCAUUCCAAAAGGCAAGCACCUGCCACUUCUUCAAAGUCAGCUGAUCAUUCGAGAUGAUGGACGGCGAGGCCGCCGAUGACGUCUCCUUUCAAGUCUCUUUGUCUAAGUGAAUUAUCGUGCGUCCUUUUAAUUUUAUUGAACAAAUUACAUUUGUCAAGGUCUAUCUUUGUAAAUAAAUGAUAACUAGAGACACAUGGAUGCGUAUUUCUGUU
rnacentral:sRNA from 1 species